rnacentral:rRNA from 1 species
UACGGGGGGGGCAAGCGUUGUUCGGAAUUACUGGGCGUAAAGGGCGCGUAGGCGGCCUUCUAAGUCGGACGUGAAAUCCCUCGGCUUAACCGAGGAACUGCGUCCGAUACUGAAAGGCUUGAAUCCGGGAGAGGGAUGUGGAAUUCCAGGUGUAGCGGUGAAAUGCGCAGAUAUCAGGAGGAACACCAAUUGCGAAGGCAGCUCGCUGGGACGUUACUGACGCUUGAGACGCGAAAGCGUGGGGAGCAAACAGG